rnacentral:rRNA from 1 species
AGGUUAAGUUAACAAGGGCGCAUGGUGAAUGCCUUGGCACUAGGAGCCGAUGAAGGACGGGACUAACACCGAUAUGCUUCGGGGAGCUGUACGUAAGCUAUGAUCCGGAGAUUUCCGAAUGGGGCAACCCAGCAGUUUUAAUCAACUGUUACCACUAGAUGAAUUCAUAGUCUAGUUGGAGGUAAACGCUGUGAACUGAAACAUCUCAUUAGCAGCAGGAAUAUAAAGAAAUUUCGAUUCCCUAAGUAGCGGCGAGCGAACGGGGAACAGCCCAAACCAAAGUGCUUGCACUUUGGGGUUGUAGGACUGAACAUUUGAGUUACCAAAGAACUUGAUAGUCGAAGGAUUUGGGAAAAUCCGCCAUAGAUGGUGAUAGCCCAGUAGAUUAAAUCAAAUUCUCUCAGUUCAGGAUCCUGAGUACGGCGGAACACGUGAAAUUCCGUCGGAAUCCGGGAGGACCAUCUCCCAAGGCUAAAUACUACCUAGUGACCGAUAGUGAACCAGUACCGUGAGGGAAAGGUGAAAAGCACCCCGGGAGGGGAGUGAAAUAGUUCCUGAAACCAUGUGCCUACAAUAAGUCAGAGCGCGUUAAUGCGUGAUGGCGUGCCUUUUUUAGAAUGAACCGGCGAGUUAUGAUCCCGUGCAAGGUUAAGACUAAAAAGUCGGAGCCGUAGCGAAAGCGAGUCUGAAAUGGGCGUUUUGAGUACGAGGUUAUAGACCCGAAACCAGGUGACCUAUCCAUGUCCAGGUUGAAGGUGCGGUAAAACGCACUGGAGGACCGAACCCGUGUAAGUUGAAAAUUGCUGGGAUGAGGUGUGGAUAGCGGUGAAAUUCCAAACGAACUUGGAGAUAGCUGGUUCUCUCCGAAAUAGCUUUAGGGCUAGCCUCGGAAUUAGGAUCAUGGAGGUAGAGCACUAUUUGGACUAGGGGCCCGUCUUGGGUUACUGAAUUCAGAUAAACUCCGAAUGCCAUUGAUUCAUAUCCGGGAGUCAGACGAUGAGUGAUAAGAUCCACCGUCGAAAGGGGAACAGCCCAGACCAUCAGUUAAGGUCCCUAAAUGUAUGCUAAGUGGAAAAGGAUGUGGAGUUGCAUAGACAACUAGGAUGUUGGCUCAGAAGCAGCCACCAUUUAAAGAGUGCGUAAUAGCUCACUAGUCGAGUGAUCCUGCGCCGAAAAUGUACCGGGGCUAAGCAUACUACCGAAACCAUGGAUGCGACCAUUAGGUCGCGUGAUAGGAGAGCGUUCUAAGGGCGGUGAAGCAAGAUCGUGAGGACUUGUGGAGCGCUUAGAAGUGAGAAUGCCGGUAUGAGUAGCGAAAGAUAGGUGAGAAUCCUAUCCACCGAAUGACUAAGGUUUCCUGGGGAAGGCUCGUCCUCCCAGGGUUAGUCGGGACCUAAGUCGAGGCCGAGAGGCGUAGACGAUGGAUAACAGGUUGAGAUUCCUGUACUAGUUAAGUGCGUUUGAGCAAUGGAGGGACGCAGGAGGCUAAGAUGUGCAUUCUGUUGGAUUAGAAUGUCCAAGCAGUAAGUCUUGUGAAGAGUCAAAUGCUUUUCACUUUAAGGACAAGCUGUGAUGGGGAGCGAAAUUUAGUAGCGAAGCGUCUGAUGUCACACUGCCGAGAAAAGCUUCUAGUGAGUACUUAACUACCCGUACCGCAAACCGACACAGGUAGUCGAGGAGAGAAUCCUAAGGUGAGCGAGUGAACUCUCGUUAAGGAACUCGGCAAAAUGACCCCGUAACUUCGGGAGAAGGGGUGCUGAUCGCAAGAUCAGCCGCAGUGAAUAGGCCCAGGCGACUGUUUAUCAAAAACACAGGUCUCUGCAAAAUCGUAAGAUGACGUAUAGGGGCUGACGCCUGCCCGGUGCUGGAAGGUUAAAAGGAUGGGUUAGCUUCGGCGAAGCUCAGAAUUGAAGCCCCAGUAAACGGCGGCCGUAACUAUAACGGUCCUAAGGUAGCGAAAUUCCUUGUCGGGUAAGUUCCGACCCGCACGAAAGGCGUAACGAUCUGGGCACUGUCUCAACGAGAGACUCGGUGAAAUUAUAUUGUCCGUGAAGAUGCGGACUACCCGCGACAGGACGGAAAGACCCCAUGGAGCUUUACUGUAGCUUGAUAUUGAGUGUUUGUACAGCUUGUACAGGAUAGGUAGGAGCCAUAGAAACCGGAACGCUAGUUUCGGUGGAGGCGUUGGUGGGAUACUACCCUCGCUGUAUGACCACUCUAACCCGCACCACUAAUCGUGGUGGGAGACAGUGUCAGGUGGGCAGUUUGACUGGGGCGGUCGCCUCCUAAAAAGUAACGGAGGCGCCCAAAGGUUCCCUCAGAAUGGUUGGAAAUCAUUCGCAGAGUGUAAAGGCACAAGGGAGCUUGACUGCGAGACAGACAGGUCGAGCAGGGACGAAAGUCGGGCUUAGUGAUCCGGUGGUACCGUAUGGAAGGGCCAUCGCUCAACGGAUAAAAGCUACCCUGGGGAUAACAGGCUUAUCUCCCCCAAGAGUCCACAUCGACGGGGAGGUUUGGCACCUCGAUGUCGGCUCAUCGCAUCCUGGGGCUGUAGUCGGUCCCAAGGGUUGGGCUGUUCGCCCAUUAAAGCGGUACGCGAGCUGGGUUCAGAACGUCGUGAGACAGUUCGGUCCCUAUCCGUCGCGGGCGUAGGAAAUUUGAGAGGACCUGUCCUUAGUACGAGAGGACCGGGAUGGACAUACCUCUGGUGUACCAGUUGUGCCGCCAGGCGCAUCGCUGGGUAGCUACGUAUGGAUGUGAUAAACGCUGAAAGCAUCUAAGUGUGAAACACACCUCGAGAUGAGAUUUCCCAUUCCUUUAUGGAAGUAAGACCCCUGAAAGAUGAUCAGGUAGAUAGGUUAGAAGUGGCAGUGCGGUGACGCAUGAAGCGGACUAAUACUAAUCGGUCGAGGACUUAACCAAG